AUCCCCACUUCUCCAAAACCCUAGAAUCUCAUUAAUCUUGCAAAUUGAAGGAUUAAUCCAAGUAGAAAUCGAGAAUUGAGCCUAGAAUCGUAAUCCUCAUCACAAGAGGAUUGUAAGGACGAGAUACCGGAACGUCGAGUGGACAAGCCGGUGGGGAUUCGCGGUUGAAGGGCGUGCGCUAAGGUAAGUUGGUGGAUCUUACGGGUGGCGAUCAAGUGAUUGAAUGAAGAACCGAACACUCCAUUUUGAAGCUUCCGCAAUGUUUUAGAUCUUUUGUAGUCUUUGUGUAUGGGUUGUAAACACAUGUUUAA